rnacentral:lncRNA from 1 species
CGGGCAUUGUCUCUCUGUUGUGCCAUCAGACCGUGGCAGUUUGCUGCUGCCACUGCCACCCCACCUGGGGGCUGCACCCUCCUGGCAGCCUUUGCCAGCCCCGCACAUGAGCUCCAGGGGUGCUUCUGUGCUGUGUUGGGAGUGUUUGCUGGGAAUGUUCCUGAUCCCUGGGAGUAUCCUUUUGUUCCUGGGCAGUCAGAGAGCUUUUGGGCUUGUCAGCUUCAGACUUUGAUUGCAAAAGUCACUGAAAGGGAGAAUGACAACGAGGUUUGUCAGAGUGGUGCUAUCAGACCCCAGCUGACAGUUUGUGCUGUGUGCUUGGAGGUUGUUUUGUAUUUGCAAUGCAGGGAGGGAAUGUCCCCUUCCCAAUUCAGCUGAAAAAGGCUUGGCAUAGCGCAUUUUUUCCUGGAGAAAACCACAUGGCAGAGACAGUUUGCAAAAGGACCCAGAGCUGUGUUUGGAGAAGGGAGUGCUGUGAGUGCCGACAAGCUGCAUCUGCCUGUGCUCUUAUUCCAGGAAAAAUUGCACUAUGCCAAGCCUUUUUCAGUUCUUUCACCUUGAAAAGCUCUUGCUGGCACACAGCGAGCAGAUGCUUAUUCCUCAAGUGCUCAGACUGGACUAGGACCACUCCACACCACUUCAUUUUUCCAGAAGGAGGAGGGAAAAUCAUGGACUUCCAUGCAAGAAUGGGCGGAGAGAAACCUGGAAGUCUUGCACGUUGUUACUGAUUUAUUUUGAUCUGGCCUUUGCCCCUCGGUGCCCUAAGCCGGGGCGCUGCCUGGUGGCGAACAGCGGAACUGCAGCGGGAACAGUGCGCACGCGCGUUCUACAGCGGAAGCCCUUUGCACGUGGGAAGGAAGGGCGAGACGGAAACGCCACGAGCAUGCGCGGUGCUAUGGAGAAGGACGCGCAUGUGCGGUGCUGUGCCCGGCACGGAGCCCGGGAGGCGCCGCCGGGCCGGGCCCACCCGGGAAAGCAAAACCCGCCCGUUCUCCCGGGGCUGGGUCUGUCCGUGACAUCCCCGGAAAAACAAAAGCCGCCCGUUCUCCCGCCCCGGCCCCGGGGCGAGGAGCAGCACCUGAGCAGGAACAGUUGUGAGAAGUUUCCCGUUUGGAGCUGGGCUCCAAGAGGAAGGAACCUGAAACUGCUUCUUCCGAAGUGUGAGAGGCCGUAUGAAGCUUACUGCUGUAGGCAGCCAGUAACUUCCACGGAUAUUUUAACUAUUAAAAACAGUGACUUCUUUUUCCUCUGUGCAGAAAUGACUUGGUUCUCCCAUGCAGGAUUCACUGAGGCUUUGAAUUCCUAUCCAGGGUAUCUCCAGGCUUCUGGUGCUCGGGGCUGUAGCGUUUGUUGUGCAGAAAACAUCCCAGGCUGCCCACCCCGGGUCUGGAUGUGCAUUUCCGCAGUUCCUCAGAGUGGGAAAAGGCCAAGAGGGUGGUGGGAAGGGUUUCUCCCAGGCCUGGGCAUCCUCAAGACAGUUCAAGUUUGGUUUUGUUUCCCAGCCCAGGGCUAA